rnacentral:rRNA from 1 species
GAUGAACGCUGGCGGCAUGCCUAACACAUGCAAGUCGAGCGAAGCGGGCACGGGUGAGUAACAUGUGGGUAACCUCCUAUAAGACUGGGAAAACUUUGGGAAACCGGAGUUAAACCGGUAACUUAUCGGAGGAUCCUUGCUGCAUUAGCUAGUGGGUAAGGUAACGGCUUACCAAGGCAACGAUGCCUAGCCGGCCUGAGAGGGUGACCGGCCACACUGGAACUGAGACACGGUCCAGACUCCUACGGGAGGCAGCAGUAGGGAAUCUUCCGCAAUGGGCGAAAGCCUGACGGAGCAACGCCGCGUGAGUGAAGAAGGUCUUCGGGUCGUAAAGCUCUUUUAUUAGGGAGGCGGUACCUAAUCAGAAAGCCACGGCUAACUACGUGCCAGCAGCCGCGGUAAUUC